UCGGGGUACUCGAGCGGCGAACGGGUGAGUAACACGUGAGCAACCUGCCCUAGGCUUUGGGAUAACCCUCGGAAACGGGGGCUAAUACCGGAUAGGACCUGUCACCGCAUGGUGGUGGGUGGAAAGUUUUUUCGGCCUGGGAUGGGCUCGCGGCCUAUCAGCUUGUUGGUGGGGUGAUGGCCUACCAAGGCGACGACGGGUAGCCGGCCUGAGAGGGCGACCGGCCACACUGGGACUGAGACACGGCCCAGACUCCUACGGGAGGCAGCAGUGGGGAAUAUUGCACAAUGGGCGGAAGCCUGAUGCAGCGACGCCGCGUGAGGGAUGACGGCCUUCGGGUUGUAAACCUCUUUCAGCAGGGACGAAGCGUAAGUGACGGUACCUGCAGAAGAAGCGCCGGCCAACUACGUGCCAGCAGCCGCGGUAAGACGUAGGGCGCGAGCGUUGUCCGGAUUUAUUGGGCGUAAAGAGCUCGUAGGCGGCUUGUCGCGUCGACUGUGAAAACCCACAGCUCAACUGUGGGCCUGCAGUCGAUACGGGCAGGCUAGAGUUCGGUAGGGGAGACUGGAAUUCCUGGUGUAGCGGUGAAAUGCGCAGAUAUCAGGAGGAACACCGGUGGCGAAGGCGGGUCUCUGGGCCGAUACUGACG
rnacentral:rRNA from 1 species